GACUGGCCUGUGGUAUUAGUACUGACUGAAGGAGUAAAUUUCUCUCAUGUUGGCGUGUGACAUUUACUAUUAAUCUGGCUGAGCAGAGGUGUGUGUGUGUGUGUGAGAGAGAGAGAGGAAGGGAUGGGUGAUGUUCGUGUGCCCAUGUGUAUGAUGUGGCUCUUUGCGGUAAUACAGUAAAAAAUGUGGCUCUUGGUCUCCAACUGGUUGGCCACCCCUGUUCUAGUUAUUUCAAUAGAGGGCAGUAAAGAGAAAUGAAACUGUAUAAACAGUGUUGAUUGUCAUUCUGAUGCACACUAAUGACAGAGUGGAAGCCUGGAGAACACUUGACAAGAUGGCUAAAAUUAUUGUCUCAAGUAUAAUUCUGAUCAGUCUUAAAGCUGCAGUUAUCUCUUCCCUCAACAUCCAGCAAACACCACAGCAUCUACUAAUGACACCUAAACAGAGUGAAGCAAAGCUCAAGUGCCGACAUGGUGAUACCAACUAUAACUACAUGUACUGGUAUCAACAAAAGACAGUCGGUGACUCCAUGGAGCUCAUUGGGAUGCUCCAGUAUGAAAAAUCCACUCCUGAGGAAAAGUUUAAAGCACGAUUCAACAUUACAGGACACUCUAAAGGAGAUGCGUUUCUGCUCAUAUCCAGUUUAACUCCUGAGGACAGUGCAGUAUAUUUCUGUGCUGCUAGUAUCACAGCCACACACCUUCCCUUUCUGUUUAACAAAAAGCUUCACACCAAACACCUGCAAAUAAGAUCUGUUCUCUGA